UACGAAAGGUGCAAGCGUUACUCGGAAUCACUGGGCGUAAAGCGCGCGUAGGCGGAUCUGCAAGUCGGGGGUGAAAUCCCGAGGCUCAACCUCGGAACUGCCUUCGAUACUGCGGGUCUCGAGUCCGGGAGAGGUGAGUGGAAUUCCUAGUGUAGAGGUGAAAUUCGUAGAUAUUAGGAAGAACACCAGUGGCGAAGGCGGCUCACUGGCCCGGUACUGACGCUGAGGCGCGAAAGCGUGGGGAGCAAACAGGGAUUAAGAA
rnacentral:rRNA from 1 species